UGCUGCCGGCUCAUUCAUUCA
rnacentral:miRNA from 1 species